GAUGAACGCUAGCGAUAGGCUUAACACAUGCAAGUCGAGGGGUAACAUGGGAGUAGCUUGCUACUUCUGAUGACGACCGGCGGAUGGGUGAGUAACGCGUAUGCAACUUGCCUCUUAGUGGGGAAUAACCCGGAGAAAUCCGGACUAAUACCGCAUACACUUAGUUAUCCGCAUGGAUGAUUAAGGAAAGAUUUAUUGCUAAGAGAUAGGCAUGCGUUCCAUUAGUUAGUUGGUGAGGUAACGGCUCACCAAGGCAUCGAUGGAUAGGGGAGCUGAGAGGGUGAACGGCCACAAGGGGACUGAGACACGGCCCUU
rnacentral:rRNA from 1 species